GAAAAGACCAGAAAGAGACGACUCUCUCUAAGAACUGUAAACUGUAAAGGUAAAGCAAACAACCUCUUUUUCUCCGCAAAUCCUGAGAAACUCCUAAGCUCCACAGUACCAUUACUCUCGGAAAAAUGUUGGAACAUUUGAACAAAAAGAGUGAAAAAUGCACACCUCGAAGAAGAGUUCCGUCCACACGAGAUUUUCCUAUUGCUUGUGGGAAUAAAUUUCCGAUAAUCAGUAGGAUGGAGUGUUUGAGAUUGCUUUCUUCUUCAGAAAAUAUAAAUUCGAGUGAUGAAUGUUUUAGUCGAGAAAGUAUGCAAUCAGAACAGAUGCUCGAAGCUGAUUGUAGAGAGAUUAGUAAGAAUGUUCAAGAUGGUCACUGGAGCCAAUUAAAUAAGAGAAAGGUUCAUGAGGAAUUUGAGGAUGCUGGUCCUAUUGCUUGUGGGGAUGACUUUCUAAUAAUUAGUAGGAUGGAGUGUUCGAGGAAGCAGGUUCAUGAGGAAUUUGAGGAUGCAGAUCCUGCGUCUAAUUGUUCUGAAGGCAACAAAUCUAUUGUGUUAGCACCUUUUUCUGGUGAGAGGGUGAUUGUGCAGGCUCUCAUGGCUACACAGAAUUGUCCAUGGAGGAAUCCAGCAAAACGAUCUGUCAAACCUCAAGAGCUCAUGGCUGCACCAAAGAGUACUCAGAGGAGGUAGGCAAAACAGGUUGUCAAAUCUGAAGGUGAAAAAUCAAUUGUUCUGGUAUCAAGUGAGAGGAUCAUUGUACAGGCUUUGAUGGCCGCACCAUACUGUCCAUGGAGGAGUCAGUCAAAACGAUUUUUCAAAUCUCCAGGGCUCAUGGCUGCACCAAACGAUGCAUCGAGGGGGCAAGAAAAACAACUUGGCAAAUUUCAAGGAGAAGAAAAAUCUAUUGUUCUAGCACCUUCCUUUAGUGAAAGAGUUAUUGUACAGGGUCUCAUGGCUGCUCCAAAUUGUCCCUGGAGGCAGGCAAAGCGAGAUAGCAAGUCAACAGCACAUGGUAUAACCAAAAGUAAAGUUAGUAAGCAGGCAAUUUCCUUAUACUUCAGAGAGUGAAGCUUCAGUGAACAAGCUGAAGGAGAACGGGAAAAUCACGUAUCACAAACAAGGGGGAAGCAGGACCUACAGUGACGAGGGUAUCAUAUCAUUCUCUUAUUAUGCGUCCAUUGAGACAUUUCCAGUGUAUUUUGCCAAUAGAAUGUACAUAUUAUGGCUCGAAUAAUCAUUGUUUAAAGAGACGGAGUGAUAAAGGAAAUCAUCCAUACAAAUUGUAGAAUUGCAGAAGAUUAUAACCUCAGUAAUCAUUGAUCACUAUCUCUAUACCAACAAUCAGCAACAGGAAGGGGAUAUCUGGUGAUUGGAUGAUGUCAGUUUCUGCAAGGAACAAGAGGAAGUCAUCUCCCAUCUCAUUUUUAGCUUAAAAAGUUUGUAAAGAUGAACACUGGCUAUAACUUAUGAAGAAAAGGAGUAGAACUUUGCAUAGUAUCA